rnacentral:rRNA from 1 species
CCUAAAUGGAGAGUUUGAUCCUGGCUCAGGACGAACGCUGGCGGCGUGCCUAAUACAUGCAAGUCGAGCGGACUUGAUGGAGUGCUUGCACUCCUGAUGGUUAGCGGCGGACGGGUGAGUAACACGUAGGUAACCUGCCCGUAAGACUGGGAUAACAUUCGGAAACGAAUGCUAAUACCGGAUACACAACUUGGUCGCAUGAUCGGAGUUGGGAAAGACGGAGCAAUCUGUCACUUACGGAUGGACCUGCGGCGCAUUAGCUAGUUGGUGAGGUAACGGCUCACCAAGGCG